UACGAAGGGGGCUAGCGUUGCUCGGAAUCACUGGGCGUAAAGCGCACGUAGGCGGCUUUUUAAGUCAGGGGUGAAAUCCUGGAGCUCAACUCCAGAACUGCCUUUGAUACUGAGAAGCUUGAGUCCGGGAGAGGUGAGUGGAACUGCGAGUGUAGAGUGAAAUUCGUAGAUAUUCGCAAGAACACCAGUGGCGAAGGCGGCUCACUGGCCCGGUACUGACGCUGAGGUGCGAAAGCGUGGGGAGCAAACAGG
rnacentral:rRNA from 1 species